AAGAACCACAAGUAGAUACAAGUGUAUAAAGAGAGAUAGUCUAACUAUUACAACCAUUCAACAUUUGAAUAUAUUACAUUUUCAAAAUGUGGAUACAUGUUUUCCUCAAAAUACAAGUAGCUCUCCUUAACUAUCCAAAACAUCAACUAGUACACGAGGGUACUCUAAUGCAUAAGGGAAAAGCUACUAGCUAGGCUCACUUAGGGCGCUAUGCCCUUGCCGCGAUCCUCGCUCGACUCGCCUCUGUGUGUACCUGUACCCCAAAACCACACGGGGUGAGAACUAUAUAAAUAUAGUUCCCAGUGGGUUCGACCGCCGACGCCGCCGGUUUUCCCACUAGGUCUAAGCUGGCACAGAUAGAGAGAUAGAUA
rnacentral:lncRNA from 1 species